GAAGAUGGGUGCAAAAAAUUUGAGAAGGCCCCAGCAAACUUCCCCUCACGUCUCAUCCGUACAUCUUUGCAGAAGACUUAACCAGGCUUAACCAGGUGUCUUGAAACAACUACUGGUUAGAGGAGGACCCAGUCCUGAAGGUUUUUCAAGAAGAAACUCUGCCCAUUCCAUAGGCAGGUGGCUCCCUGCUCUGCUGUUUUGGACCUUCAAUCACUAGUGACAUGCCAGCAAUCCACAAAGUCCUAGGUGUCUCUUUUAGCUAUCAUCAUCUGAAAGACAUCUAAAAGGUUUUUUUUUAGUGUUUGAGAGCAUUAGGUUUCAUUUCUUGCAUUCCACAAGAGCGCGGAUGGAGGCACGUGGAAAAAGAACGAUAAUGAGUAGAAGAUUACGAUACAUACCACGAUUGAGUGCACAUGGAAGUUUCUAAGAGAAUUCAGAGAAUGAAGAGGAGUCUCUGUUCAGGAAGGCUUGAUGGAGAAUGUGGAAUUUGCUCAAGGCUUUUGUUAAGAUUUUGAUAGGAAAACUAUCAUAGGAAAUGGCUAGAAUAGAUUUUAGAAUCAUAUAGUAUGUAUCUUGGUUCACUUUCAAAAUCAGACUGGGCUUUGAAACGAACAGGUUUUAAUCAAAGCUGGCUUUAUAGGAGGAGUAUAAUUUAUGCACUACUGUUUUAAAACAAUUAGUGUGAGUGUGUGUGUGUGUUUUUGUGUGAUUGAGCCCAAUUAUUGUAAGUCUACACUCAUUAGAAGUAAUGUACCCAUGAAGACGAGCAGAAUAGUAUGUAGAUGUGAUCUCAAUUUAAAAUAGAAAAAUCGAUUCAAUACACUCUGUAUCAGCGCUUCAAAAAAUAAAAUGAAAUGCUCCAAUAUUGAGAAGUAAUUAAGGUUACCUUUAGUUGUUAAGUCUGUGACCAUAUUUCAUAGGAUAAGUUUGGGAGGCAGCUUUUCAACAUGAGAGCAGACGUCAGUACAUUUUUUGGAGUGUUCUACUUUGCCUUAUCUUUAUUACGUACUGAAAAAGAAAUAAGACAAAACACAUCUUCAGUCAAAUAAUGUAAUAUAAUAUGGAAAGCACUGACUGUUGUCAACCUGAUAAUCAGGAUAUACUUUCAAGGUUUUGUGGGUUUUUUUAGCCAAUAUAACUAUAAAAUGACAAAAUACCCUUUUCCAGGAUAUUUAGUGAUUCACUGGAUGAGUCAUACCUUUUAAAAAAUCUCUGCUCCUUUCAUCGUAACUUGGAAAUUUUCCAUAUUAUAAACUGUGUUUUCUUACGUGACCAUAUGAAACAAAGACUAUGUUUGUAAACCUAGCUUCCACAUGAGUCUACACUAUUAUUGCAGCAUGGGUUUAUAUGGUGGGGAAGUCUUUUAUAUUUAUUCUAAAUAACUUGAUUCUUAUCCGAAUUUUAAAAAAUUUGCCCAGGGUGAGACAAAUUCUUUACCAUGUUAAAGUUUCAAAGUUUUGUGGAAAGACCUGAGGGUCAUGUAGCACACUAGAUGUGGUACGCCAUUGGGUAUGACUUCCCUUGUUGUGCCUUGAAAGCUACUUCUCCUUCCACAGCAGAGUUGCAGAUCAAAAGUGAACUACUAUUUUUUGUGGUAAGUAAACAUUUGGAAAACUGGAGCCCCACUUUUAGAUGUGGUGGUGAGAUUAUAUUACUCUCCAUUCGUACCUAGAAACACCUUAAUAUGAUCAUUUACUCCAUAAGCAAAGCAUUACCACGUACAUUAUUCCCCCUUGUUUUUGCAUUUUACAUUAUUCACACUAACGCCAAAGCAGAUUUAUUAAUACUGGACUGCAAAUGGCAUUAUUCCUCAUACUCUGAGAAUUUACAUCCUGGGAUAAACAACACUUAUGGAGCAAUAAAUGUAGCACAAGUGGAAAAAAAAUCACAUUAUCUGUGGCAUUUUUUUCCUUCUGGGAUUUAAAAUGCAUUCAAAUUGUUGACCAGCAAAACUUACUGAAUGACCACUGUGUUUGGGCACUGCAUCCCAAGAUACAGAACUCUAAGGGGAAUUCUUUUCUUCAAAGCAUGUAAAGACUAGCUGGAAAAGGACUGACACACAGGAAAGACCAGCAAACAUAAUAGUAUUCUAUAAGCACAUAUUAAAUAGUAUGCUGCAAACUAUUCAUGGUCUAGACAUGCACUGUUCAAUAUGGCAGGCGCUUGUUACAUAUGGCUAUCGAGCAUCUGAAAUGAGGUUAUUGUGGGCUAAGACAUGGAAACAACCUAAGUAUCCAUCAGUAGGUGAAUGGAUAAAGAAGAUGUGAUAUAUACAUACAUUAUAUAUAUAUAUAUAUAUAUGAAUAUUACUCAGCCAUAAUGAACUCUUGACACUUGUGACAACAUAAAUGAACCUUGAGGGUAUUAUCCCAAGUGAAAUAAGUCAGAUGGAGAAAGACAACUAUCAUAUGAUUUCACUCAUAUGUAGAAUAUGAAAAACUAACAAGCAAGCAAACAAGCAAGACAACAAAAUAAAUGAACAAACCCAGCCAAACAAAAACAAACACAUAGAUACAGAGAACA